rnacentral:tRNA from 2 species
GGUGGGUUACCGAAGCGGUCAAACGGGUCUGACUGUAAAUCAGAUGGCUCUGCCUUCGCAGGUUCGAAUCCUGCACCCACCAC